GGCUAGCAGCGUCAGUUGAGUACCGAACUCGGAGCUGUGCGCUUCGCUGCAUUCCUGUACUUUAAAUAAUUUUUCCCUUCGAUAUAACCUUCUGCAUCGAAGCUCGUCUGCGUCGUUUAUUGUGAGCCAUUUCUCUCUCACAGGAAUCACUCGUGAGUACUUCCAGUACGCUAAGAUAUCAGCAAGUAUACAACCGACCGGCGACGAGGCUCUCCUCCAAACAGUAGCAUAAUAUCCCAUCGUGUCGCACUUCCGAAUAACGGAGAUGUUCCCAUUCUCGACGUUAGAUCUGAACGUAUCCAAACUCGUUAAAAGCUAUGACCGCACGCUGUACCAAUUUCUCGACGAGAUCUUUUGCAAGCGCCGUUUUGAAGCCAGCAGACAUCUCGCGGAAUUUCUUCGAGACCCCGUUCGAAAAUACAAAAUCAAUCAGAUCCUAGAGCAUGAGCCCGUCCUCAGCAGGUACUUUUCAAAAGAAGAGCUUGGACAGCUCUCACUUCUGUGGAUCGCUCUCUUGGGCUCUUAUUACGAUUCAGCCGAGCUUCUCGUGCGCACUGGUGCCGAAGUCAACGAGGUCUUCGGAAGAGGCGGUCUUGAGGUGAUCGACGGGAUGUCGACCCUUCUCCACCUGCUGCUUCAGAAGGAUCCCUCUCCGGAGAACGAGCGACUCAUCAGUCUGAUCAUUGGCAGUGGCGCCAACUUCCAAGCUCGGGACCUCAAGGGACGAAGCCCCCUGUACUUGGCGGUGACGAGAAACCGAAUCAAUAUGAUCGAAAUGUUGCUGGAAAAAGGAGCCGAUAUGAAUGCUGCUGCCAAAAAUGGCUUGACACCACUGUUCGAAGCUGUUAAAAUCAAUGCUAAAGAGCUGCUACCAUUAUUCAUUAAAGAUGUAUCCGCCAAAGAUUCAAACGGCAGAAAUGUCUUAUCUCUGCUGGCAUUCGCUCCUAAAGAGCAGCGCACCGUAGACAUAGCGAGAGGCUUCAUCGAAAAGGGUUGCUCGCUCGAGGAUAGGGAGCACGUUGGCCUUCUGCUCCAGCCGAUACACCGAGCAGCCCAGGUGGGGCACGAUGAGUUGGUGAAGCUCUAUUUGGGCCACGGCGCUGACGCAAAUUCGCUAGGGUCGGAUGACUUGACUCCACUGUACAUGGCAGCUGCGAAUGGGCACGUGGAAGUUGUGAAGACUCUGCUUAAUCAUGGGGCGAACGUUAAUCAAAGAAGAUCUCAUAGCGGUUACACUGCAUUGCACGCAGUCUGUGUGGUCUGUGAAUCCUCAAGAGACACAGAGGUCAUCGAAUUACUUUUGUCCGCCGGGGCGGAUAUACUCAUCGAGGGCAACUACGGCCACGAGACGCCUUUCGCUUUUACGCGACCUAGCUUUUGUUUAGAGAAUACGCAAUACCGAUGCAUCAGGCUUUUGCUCAGAGCGUUGGCUUUGAUAAAAGUUAGCCAACCGUCGAUUGAGUUAAAGGACGAAACGAUCAUCAAGCCGGAGGUGGACAUGCAGACGUACUACGAAAAAUGCAUCGAAGAGGCCGAGAGGGCGAAAUCCUCGAGGUUCAUCAGGAGCUGCACGUUUUUCGACCUCCUCACGAAAUGCCACUGUCAGAUCGCCCCACUCAUGCGUAAUCCUGAGUUCGAGACGGAAUUCAAGAAGUUCAACUUGAAGGAAUUUCCAAUGUAUGCCGGAGACGCAGUCCGAGCUUUCAAGCGCGCUGAAGAGCACUAUCAAUCCAUCCUAGAAUUUGAAGAGCUGAUCAACGAGUCUAUUUGCUAUAUCUUGCCUUAUAUGCUUGUGAGGCAAAUCCUUGACCACAUACCUAUUGUGCAUACUUGUCGCAAACGUGUGAAAUAAGCAAUAUUGUGGUUAAAUAUUGAAAUAUUAUAGUUAACCGCACGCAUAACUCGAAAUCCUCAUUCGGUUUUUCCCUAGUGGAAAUGAAAAAUGUAAUAAAGUGGAAUAAAAUAUAAGAAAAUGUAACAAAUCGUACCAUUUUGUACGUUUUUGUUGAAUUUCGGACCUUUUUUACGUUUUAUUACAGUUUGCUACAUUUUAUUACAUUUUGUUACGUUUUAUUACAAUUUAUUACAAAUCCAUUGAUCCAGGAUUUCAUGGGGGACUCUUCUUUAAAAAGACAAAUGUACGCCAAUUCAUUUCGUUCUAUAAUUUUAAUUUACACCUAGCCUAACAUAGUACAAUGUAAAACAUGGUUUAACUGCCUGCUAAUAAGGAUUAAAACUAAAAUGGAUAAAGAUCGUCCGGAUAUAUCCUGCAGGUGAUAGUAGUAUACCUAUAUAAGUAUAUAGAUAUUUAUUGAUAUUUUUUUUAAUGUUUAUGCAUGCGAGAGAAAUAACAGAAAGGGGUGAGAGGCUUUUGCGAACGAAAUGAGAUUUAUAAUGUCAGCGGCGUGACUGUACACAUCGGUGAAAAUUUGGAGUUUUCGCUCGGAAGAACCAGAGCGAAAAGCGGAAGCUGAACUGAGACUCUUAUAAUUUUACUUAGGAGAAGCCCUAGCUGUUUUUUUUUUUGAUGAUGGACAUCAACUGCGGACAGUCUGUUUUCUUGCUUGAUAGGAAAAACGAGCUAAAUAAGCUUAUGUUACAGAGGGUAUUCACAUUCUGUAACAGUUUUUUUAUAACUACGAAUAUGAUGUUUUCCAGUAAUAUAACGGUACUUCAAUUAAAAAUCCCCGCUUUUAUCAGUGCUUCAAUAUUGUAUUUUCUAUCCCGCUAGAUAUUGAUCUUGAUCGAAUGCGCUAUAAACACGCAGAAGCGAUAUAAGUAGCAGAUAAAGAAAUGUAUAUAUAAAAGCACACAGCAGAUUUCAAAAUGAUCAGACUGUAAAGUAUCUUGAAAUCAUCAACACACUACCAGACCAAUUUCACUAACCGCCAAAAUGAGUCAAACUCUUACCUACCUUUUGCUCUUGGUCGUCCUUAUCGCCUGUCUGACUAAUGGCGCUGUUGCGGCGGCUGAAUGGGGAUGCAGCAGCAACAGCGAAUGCGGAACGUGCAGCUGUACUGGUGGAUAUUGCGUCUGUCCCGAUGGAGUGGUCUAAAUCAGCUGAGAAGCCUUAUCGUCCUUUUAUUGAUUGAUUUCGAGAAGAACAAUGUAGCUUUAUAACUUGAUUAAUUUUUCUAAUCCACUAAAAUAAAUGAUUUAUAGUAUUCCAUAAA